GACGAACGCUGGCGGCGUGCUUAAUACAUGCAAGUCAACUUGACUUUAGAUAGCAAUAUCGAAAGUAGGGUGGCGCACGGGUGCGUAACGCGUAGGUAAUCUGCCUGAGGUCUGACAUAACCCGUCGAAAGGCGGGCUAACAUCAGAUGAUAUAUAAUCACGACAUCGUGGAAAUAUCAAAUCUUCGGAGCCUUGGGAUGAGCCCUGCGUCUGAUUAGGUAGUUGGCGGAGUAAUAGCCCACCAAGCCUACGAUCAGUAGCUGGUCUGAGAGGAUGAUCAGCCACACUGGAACUGAGACACGGUCCAGACUCCUACGGGAGGCAGCAGUAAGGAAUAUUGCUCAAUGGGGGAAACCCGUGAAGCAGCAACGACCG
rnacentral:rRNA from 1 species